AAAGUCUGUAGAUUAUAGACAAAACACGCAUCUUUCAUCACAAAUUUCUGUUUAUUCCCCCAACGUGCAAGAGUUAAAAUACAAAACAGGUGAAGUUAAAUAACUAAAAUGUAAAAGAAUUUACAAAAAAGAAGUUUUUUUUUUUUUUUUUUUUAAAAAGAUCAGAAGUAGUGGAUAAUGCAGUUUAUUUCUGUGACAGUCUCUCCAGCACUGACACCGUACGUCCCAUCAGUCCAACCAAGGUGUUUGAAUUUUCAUCCAUCCUCUGGAUGUUCUGGAGCAUAGCAGUGGUCAGGUCUUGGUCUCUGGAUGUUCUGGAGCAUGGCAGAGGUCAGGUCUUGGUGUCUCCUCAACUGUUCCUCUGACCUCUCCAGAUACUGCAGCAGAUCCACAGUAGCAUCCUGCUUCCUUUUUCCUGCAUAAAAGCACCCAAAAAGGUAUUAGUUGUUAGUAAUUACUUUCUAUAUUCAUAAACACAGUUAAAGUAAAUGUUCUGUUUUGUGAUUUUAGGAUGGGCUGAAAGUUAACAUAUUGAUCAUGUUGUUGUCCACACAGUCUAAACAGAUCUUACUUGAUUUGGUCUGUUGAGAGGAGAACGGCAUGGAUG
ensembl:lncRNA